UACGAAGGGGCGAGCGUUGUUCGGAAUCACUGGGCGUAAAGGGCGCGUAGGCGGCCCUUCUUGUCGCGUGUGAAAGCCCCGGGCUCAACCUGGGAACGGCGCGCGAGACGGGAGGGCUGGAGUUCGGGAGAGGAGCGUGGAAUUCCCAGUGUAGAGGUGAAAUUCGUAGAUAUUGGGAAGAACACCAGUGGCGAAGGCGGCUCACUGGCCCGGUACUGACGCUG
rnacentral:rRNA from 1 species